AAAGAUGACUAGUAAUCCCUGUCACUAAUAUCACUAAAGUGAAUAUCCUAGGAUCCUUAUCUUUGUCUAGGGGCGGCCGAACCAAAUCGCUAGGGGAUGGUUUUGAAGACGGUUUAUGAACCGUCGAUUUCGGUUCUAGCUCCGGUUUAAAACAGUUUUAAGGGCAGUUCAAAAAAGGACGCUUCAAGACGGUUUUGAGGACGGUUUAAGGGCGGGACUUAGACAAAAAAAAAAGAUAGAGAA
rnacentral:misc_RNA from 1 species